CUACGGGGCGCAGCAGUGGGGAAUAUUGCACAAUGGGCGCAAGCCUGAUGCAGCCAAGCCGCGUGUAUGAAGAAGGCCUUCGGGUUGUAAAGUACUUUCAGCGGGGAGGAAGGGAGUAAAGUUAAUACCUUUGCUCAUUGACGUUACCCGCAGAAGAAGCACCGGCUAACUCCGUGCCAGCAGCCGCGGUAAUACGGAGGGUGCAAGCGUUAAUCGGAAUGACUGGGCGUAAAGCGCACGCAGGCGGUUUGUUAAGUCAGAUGUGAAAUCCCCGGGCUCAACCUGGGAACUGCAUCUGAUACUGGCAAGCUUGAGUCUCGUAGAGGGGGGUAGAAUUCCAGGUGUAGCGGUGAAAUGCGUAGAGAUCUGGAGGAAUACCGGUGGCGAAGGCGGCCCCCUGGACGAAGACUGACGCUCAGGUGCGAAAGCGUGGGGAGCAAACAGGAUUAGAUACCCGAGUAGUC
rnacentral:rRNA from 1 species